UACGGAGGGUGCGAGCGUUGUCCGGAAUCACUGGGCGUAAAGGGCGCGUAGGCGGCAGGCCAAGCGUGUGGUGAAAGCCCGGGGCUCAACCCCGGGUCGGCCAUGCGGACUGGCGUGCUUGAGCACUGUAGGGGCGGGUGGAAUUCCGGGUGUAGCGGUGGAAUGCGUAGAGAUCCGGAAGAACACCGGUGGCGAAGGCGGCCCGCUGGGCAGGAAGAUGGAGCAAUCCAUCGGCUGACGCUGAGGCGCGACAGCGUGGGGAGCGAACAGG
rnacentral:rRNA from 1 species